AUCCAGCUGAUGAGUCUCAAAUAGGACGAAACGCCCAUUCUGGAU
rnacentral:hammerhead_ribozyme from 1 species